rnacentral:rRNA from 1 species
UACAGAGGGUGCAAGCGUUGUUCGGAAUUACUGGGCGUAAAGCGCGCGCAGGCGGAUCCUGUAAGUCGGAAGUGAAAUCUCACUGCUCAACGGUGAGACUGCUACUGAUACUGCGGAUCUGGAGACCGGUAGAGGCUGGUAGAAUUGCAGGUGUAGCGGUGGAAUGCGUAGAGAUCUGCAAGAAUACCCGUGGCAAGGACGGCCAGGCCUGGGCCGGUUCGG